rnacentral:rRNA from 1 species
CACGUAGGGCGCAAGCGUUGUCCGGAAUUAUUGGGCGUAAAGAGCUCGUAGGUGGUUUGUUACGUCCGCUGUGAAAACCUAGGGCUUAACCCUGGGCUUGCAGUGGAUACGGGCAGACUAGAGGUAGGUAGGGGAGAAUGGAAUUCCUGGUGUAGCGGUGAAAUGCGCAGAUAUCAGGAGGAACACCAGCGGCGAAGGCGGCGCUCUGGGCUGGAACUGACGCUGAGGAGCGAAAGCGUGGGGAGCGAACAGG